CGGAGGGUGCAAGCGUUAUCCGGAAUCAUUGGGUUUAAAGGGUCCGCAGGCGGAAUUAUAAGUCAGUGGUGAAAGCUCUCAGCUUAACUGAGAAACUGCCAUUGAUACUGUAGUUCUUGAAUUUGGUCGAAGUGGGCGGAAUAUGACAUGUAGCGGUGAAAUGCAUAGAUAUGUCAUAGAACACCGAUAGCGAAGGCAGCUCACUAGGCCAAUAUUGACGCUCAUGGACGAAAGCGUGGGGAGCAAACAGGAUUAGAUACCCUGGUAGUCCACGCCGUAAACUAUGAUUACUCGUUUUCAGCGAUAUACUGUUGGAGACUAAGCGAAAGUGAUAAGUAAUCCACCUGGGGAGUACGAUCGCAAGGUUG
rnacentral:rRNA from 1 species